rnacentral:rRNA from 1 species
AAGGUUAAGCCUCACGGUUCAUUAGUACCGGUUAGCUCAACGCAUCGCUGCGCUUACACACCCGGCCUAUCAACGUCGUCGUCUUCAACGUUCCUUCAGGACCCUUAAAGGGUCAGGGAGAACUCAUCUCGGGGCAAGUUUCGUGCUUAGAUGCUUUCAGCACUUAUCUCUUCCGCAUUUAGCUACCGGGCAGUGCCAUUGGCAUGACAACCCGAACACCAGUGAUGCGUCCACUCCGGUCCUCUCGUACUAGGAGCAGCCCCCCUCAGUUCUCCAGCGCCCACGGCAGAUAGGGACCGAACUGUCUCACGACGUUCUAAACCCAGCUCGCGUACCACUUUAAAUGGCGAACAGCCAUACCCUUGGGACCUACUUCAGCCCCAGGAUGUGAUGAGCCGACAUCGAGGUGCCAAACACCGCCGUCGAUAUGAACUCUUGGGCGGUAUCAGCCUGUUAUCCCCGGAGUACCUUUUAUCCGUUGAGCGAUGGCCCUUCCAUUCAGAACCACCGGAUCACUAAGACCUACUUUCGUACCUGCUCGAGCCGUCACUCUCGCAGUCAAGCUGGCUUAUGCCUUUGCACUAACCGCAUGAUGUCCGACCAUGCUUAGCCAACCUUCGUGCUCCUCCGUUACUCUUUGGGAGGAGACCGCCCCAGUCAAACUACCCACCAGACACGGUCCCCGAUCCAGAUUAUGGACCCGGGUUAGAACAUCAAACGUUAAAGGGUGGUAUUUCAAGGAUGGCUCCGUGCAGACUGGCGUCCACACUUCGUUGCCUCCCACCUAUCCUACACAUCAAGGCUCAAUGUUCAGUGUCAAGCUAUAGUAAAGGUUCACGGGGUCUUUCCGUCUUGCCGCGGGUACACUGCAUCUUCACAGCGAGUUCAAUUUCACUGAGUCUCGGGUGGAGACAGCCUGGCCAUCAUUACGCCAUUCGUGCAGGUCGGAACUUACCCGACAAGGAAUUUCGCUACCUUAGGACCGUUAUAGUUACGGCCGCCGUUUACCGGGGCUUCGAUCAGAAGCUUCGCCUUGCGGCUGACCUCAUCAAUUAACCUUCCGGCACCGGGCAGGCGUCACACCGUAUACGUCCACUUUCGUGUUUGCACAGUGCUGUGUUUUUAAUAAACAGUUGCAGCCAGCUGGUAUCUGCGGCUGGCUUCAGCUCCGUGGGUAAACCACUUCACCUAAUGCCAGCGUGCCUUCUCCCGAAGUUACGGCACCAUUUUGCCUAGUUCCUUCACCCGAGUUCUCUCAAGCGCCUGAGUAUUCUCUACCUGACCACCUGUGUCGGUUUGGGGUACGAUUAAUGGUAACCUGGAGCUUAGAGGCUUUUCCCGGAAGCAGAGCAUCAAUCACUUCACCACCGUAGUGGCUCGUCGUCACGCCUCAGUGUUAACAACCGACCGGAUUUGCCUGGUCAGUCCACCUGCACGCUUAAACCGGGACAACCGUCGCCCGGAUGAUUUAGCUUUCUCCGUCCCCCCUUCGCAGUUACCACCAGUACGGGAAUAUUAACCCGUUGCCCAUCGACUACGCUUUUCAGCCUCGCCUUAGGGGUCGACUCACCCUGCCCCGAUUAACGUUGGACAGGAACCCUUGGUCUUCCGGCGUGCGGGUUUUUCACCCGCAUUAUCGUUACUUAUGUCAGCAUUCGCACUUCUGAUACCUCCAGCAUGCCUCACAGCACACCUUCACAGGCUUACAGAACGCUCCCCUACCCAACAAUAUUUACAUAUCGCUGCCGCGGCUUCGGUGCAUAAUUUAGCCCCGUUACAUCUUCCGCGCAGGCCGACUCGACCAGUGAGCUAUUACGCUUUCUUUAAAUGAUGGCUGCUUCUAAGCCAACAUCCUGGCUGUCUGAGCCUUCCCACUUCGUUUCCCACUUAAUUAUGACUUUGGGACCUUAGCCGGCGGUCUGGGUUGUUUCCCUCUUCACGACGAACGUUAGCACCCGCCGUGUGUCUCCCGUGAUAACAUUCUCCGGUAUUCGCAGUUUGCAUCGGGUUGGUAAGUCGGGAUGACCCCCUAGCCGAAACAGUGCUCUACCCCCGGAGAUGAAUUCACGAGGCGCUACCUAAAUAGCUUUCGGGGAGAACCAGCUAUCUCCCGGUUUGAUUGGCCUUUCACCCCCAGCCACAAGUCAUCCGCUAAUUUUUCAACAUUAGUCGGUUCGGUCCUCCAGUUAGUGUUACCCAACCUUCAACCUGCCCAUGGCUAGAUCACCGGGUUUCGGGUCUAUACCCUGCAACUAAUUCGCCCAGUUAAGACUCGGUUUCCCUGCGGCUCCCCUAUUCGGUUAACCUUGCUACAGAAUAUAAGUCGCUGACCCAUUAUACAAAAGGUACGCAGUCACACCCCGAAGGGUGCUCCCACUGCUUGUACGUACACGGUUUCAGGUUCUUUUUCACUCCCCUCGCCGGGGUUCUUUUCGCCUUUCCCUCACGGUACUGGUUCACUAUCGGUCAGUCAGGAGUAUUUAGCCUUGGAGGAUGGUCCCCCCGUAUUCAGACAGGAUAACACGUGUCCCGCCUUACUCAUCGGACUCACAACACCAGUGCUUUCAGAUACAGGGCUAUCACCUGCUGUGGCCAGCCUUUCCAGACUGUUCUCUUAACACUGAUGCUGAUUAAGGUCCUGGGCUGCUCCCCGUUCGCUCGCCGCUACUGGGGGAAUCUCGUUUGAUUUCUUUUCCUCGGGGUACUUAGAUGUUUCAGUUCUCCCGGUUCGCUUCAUUACCCUAUGUAUUCAGGUAAUGAUAGUGCAACGAAUUGCACUGGGUUUCCCCAUUCGGAAAUCGCCGGUUAUAACGGUUCAUAUCACCUUACCGGCGCUUAUCGCAGAUUAGCACGUCCUUCAUCGCCUCUGACUGCCUAGGCAUCCACCGUGUACGCUUAUUCGCUUAA